UUCAUAUUGUCGAUGUCUUCUCUUCUCUCUCAUCCUCGAAGUGAAAAACCGACUCUAACAAUAAAACAAACAUUGGUCCGACUUCGACAACGAGGGAGGGGUGGUGGUUAUGCAUUACAUAUAUUGAUCUUUGUCUUAUCGUGUCCAAAAUCAUCUGACAAAUCAACUUGCAACCAUAGAUGGUUUGGGAACCGAGUUCGCUCCUCUCUUGAGUAUUUUCCAUUAUAGAGAAGAGUAGAAGAGACAAAUAUGGCCAGGAAUACCCUGUCUGCAUGUUUUCACUGUUUCACCUCAGGCACAAAAAAAAAAAAAAAAAAAAAAAAAAAAAAAAAAAAA